CGUUAGCUCAGUUGGUAGAGCAGCUGACUCUUAAUCAGCGGGUCGCAGGUUCGAUCCCUGCACGGC
rnacentral:tRNA from 1 species